CCUCUUGAAUUUAUUAGAGGUCCAGCCUGCCCAGUGACUCCUGUUUAACGGCCGCGGUAUUCUAACCGUGCAAAGGUAGCGUAAUCACUUGUUUUCUAAAUAAAGACUAGUAUGAAAGGCACCACGAGGACUAAACUGUCUCCUUUUUCCAAUCAGUGAACCUAAUCUCCCCGUGAAGAAGCGGGGAUUUCAGUAUAAGACGAGAAGACCCUGUGGAGCUUAAAACAUCUAAACAUCUGCUUCAUUUUCCAUCACUCAGGUAUAUUACCCCUCUUGCAAUUUGAUUUAAUGUUUUUGGUUGGGGUGACCGCGGAAAAAAACAGAUCCUCCGCAAUGAAAAGGAAUUCCCUAAACUGUAAGUCACAACUUUACGUAUCAAAAAAUUGACACCAUCGACCCAAUAGUUGAUCAAUGAACCAAGUUACCCCAGGGAUAACAGCACAAUCCACUUCAAGAGUUCAUAUCGACAAGUGGGCUUAUGACCUCGAUGUUGGAUCGGGAUAUCCUAGUGGUGCAGCCGCUACUGAAGGUUCGUUUGUUCAACGAUUAAAACCCCACGU
rnacentral:rRNA from 1 species